rnacentral:rRNA from 1 species
UACAGAGGUCCCGAGCGUUGUUCGGAUUCAUUGGGCGUAAAGGGUGCGUAGGCGGUGGGGUAAGUUGGAUGUGAAAUCUUGGGGCUUAACCUCAAAAUUGCAUUCAAUACUGCUCCGCUCGAGUUCUGUAGAGGAGAUUGGAAUUUACGGUGUAGCAGUGAAAUGCGUAGAUAUCGUAAGGAACGCCAGUGGCGAAAGCGAAUCUCUGGGCAGCAACUGACGCUGAGGCACGAAAGGCCCAGGGGGAGCAAAACGGGG